rnacentral:rRNA from 1 species
AGGACUGCCGGUGACAAACCGGAGGAAGGUGGGGAUGACGUCAAGUCCUCAUGGCCCUUAUGGGUAGGGCUACACACGUCAUACAAUGGCCGGUACAGAGGGUAGCCAACCCGCGAGGGGGAGCCAAUCCCACAAAGCCGGUCGUAGUCCGGAUCGCAGUCUGCAACUCGACUGCGUGAAGUCGGAAUCGCUAGUAAUCGCAGGUCAGCAUACUGCGGUGAAUACGUUCCCGGGCCUU